rnacentral:rRNA from 1 species
UCUAAGUACCCCGAGGAAAAGAAAUCAACCGAGAUUCCCCCAGUAGCGGCGAGCGAACGGGGAGGAGCCCAGAGCCUGAAUCAGCAUGUGUGUUAGUGGAAGCGUCUGGAAAGGCGCGCGAUACAGGAUGUACGCGGUUUUCCAAAGUGGUGGUAAACAACACCGAGUAAGCGAAGGUCAGACCGUUCGCCUGGAAAAGCUGGACAUCGCAACUGGCGAAACUAUCGAGUUCGCUGAAGUUCUGAUGAUCGCAA